rnacentral:tRNA from 1 species
GGCCGACUGGCCCAAUGGCAAGGCGUGAGUGGGUUCAACUUUGAAAAAUAGUCACGAUAUUGACUGUGAUUAUUAGGCUUGACUACGAAUCAAGAGGUAAUAAUGAAAAAUAUGCCUUGAUAAUAACAACAUUAACUCAGUGUAGAUUGCGGGUUCGAAUCCCGUGUUGGUCA